CGCGGUUGGACUGCAUCGAGAAUAAAUGAUUACGGCUUAACAAUCUUGAGCUGAUGUGCCAAAGACUGUUUUCUGUCGGCUACGUGAGAAACGUCAUCGUCAGGCUGAGCCAAUCAGAGGCAGAGUAAAGUCGCGUCCAGGGUCAUACAGCUAAGCUAACAUAAUAGGGCUUUAAUAUAAUACAAAAAGGAAAAUAAUGAACAUCUGUAAUGUGGAAACAUGGAGAUCCGUAUGAAAGCCAUCAAAUGACACUUUCCAUGCAGAUUCAUACUGAGAACAAGGAAACAUGAGCUGCAGCGAACCGAUUCCAUCGCUCCACAGUGUGAGUAAGUUAUGAGCAGGAGGAACUAUAAAUGAGUCAGACCUGUUUCGUUUGGAUCCCCGUUCCAUCAUGGUAUGCUUUUAUGAGUACAUUUUUCAUGCAAGUUCUUGGCUGCGAACGUGCAACGGCUCAUUUCAGUAUCCGAAAGGGCCCGCCUGCCCCCCCCCCCCCCCCCCUCGCCAUCUCCAUCGCCACCUCCUCCGACAGCACAAACAGCAACAAUGGAAAGAAAGGAAACUUGACUCGUUGGAGAAGACAAGUGUUUCAAAAGAUGGAGCUCUCCACCGUUGAGCUGAUGAACGACUCUCCCCUUCCCGUUCCCUCUGAAAAAAACAGCCAAUGAAAAUAAGCUCAACUGUGCAAUUUAGAGAGCCGUAUAAAUCAAUCCUGGUAACAAACUCUGAAUGUCAGCGAGCGUGACGGCCACUGAUUCAGAGAGGGAUGGAGUUGGCGUGGAUCCCUACCUGGUUGGCACUCCUCCAGUCGGCGCGCCACCCCGGCUGCCGUCUCUCCUCCCAGCCGCCCCGCCCAGGCUCCAUGCCCCAUUUCUGCUCCCGCUGGGGACGCAACCAGAACAGCACCAGAAAGAGACAAGAGGAGGACCAGUGACUGAUCAGGGUCAUAAAGCUCCGAAUUGUUUGUGGUCUUCAGUGAUAACCUGCUGGACGUCACUGUGCUGUUUAUACAUCACUAAGCACAAAACCAAUGAGGUCCCAAACACGGCAGAAGAGAUCAAUGAUUCCAACAUCCCAAAGAUUGCCGUUCUGAGUGCCGUUCAAUCACUGCGUUCCAGCAGCGUCUCAGUGAGUCUUUGUGGUGCUGUUAGACGACUCCAGAGUUCACAUGUGAGCUUUACAAGCAGAGCGAGGUUCUCCUUCACUGGCGGUGAGGGACCACUUGUGGUUUUUCAUGUUUGGUAAAAACUGCAAAACUUGGCUGCUUACUCUGCUAAUCUCUCUGACACACACACACACAAAAAGCAGAUGUAUGAGACGUGUCUGUUACUGUAUUCAGAGCCUCGGAGGCAUGCCAUCAAACGACCUUCUCAUGGAGAUUCAACACAAACACACACCUAUACACACAUCCAUAUACACACUUCCAUACACACACAUCCAUAUACAGUGUGUGAAACAGGAGGGGGGGUGAUCCCACACACACAGUCAAAAUAAAACACACAUCGCCUUCACAGGAAAGCCUAUACAGUAUGUAUGUAUGUAUGUAUGCAGGCUGCUUUUUUAUUCAUAAAAUGACAGAGAUGUCAAAGCAUCAAAAAGUUGUGGCCUCUGUUCUCUCUCACUCUUUCCAUCUCCCUGUUGUCCGUUUAAAAGAGCUCAGAUACAUUUUUAUGCACAGGCAAACGAUUGAGACAGUGUAUACAAAGGAGUGAGCAUG
ensembl:lncRNA